UACGAAGGGUGCAAGCGUUGCUCGGAAUUAUUGGGCGUAAAGGGUUGGUAGGUGGUCUUGUUUGUCUAAGGUGAAAUCCCAUGGCUUAACUGUGGAAGUGCCUUAGAAACGGCAAGACUAGAGUCCUAGAGGGGUUUGUGGAAUUCCCGGUGUAGCGGUGAAAUGCGUAGAGAUCGGGAGGAACACCAGCGGCGAAGGCGGCAAACUGGAUAGGCACUGACACUCAACAACGAAAGCAUGGGGAGCGAACAGG
rnacentral:rRNA from 1 species